AACGCGAAGAACCUUACCAGGUCUUGACAUCCCGUGCGUAGCGCAGAGAUGCGUGAAGUCCUUCGGGACACGGAGACAGGUGGUGCAUGGUUGUCGUCAGCUCGUGUCGUGAGAUGUUGGGUUAAGUCCCGCAACGAGCGCAACCCUUAUUGUUAGUUGCUACGCAAGAGCACUCUAACGAGACUGCCGUUGACAAAACGGAGGAAGGUGGGGAUGACGUCAAAUCAUCAUGCCCCUUAUGACCUGGGCUACACACGUAAUACAAUGGCGGCCAACAGAGGGCAGCGACACCGCGAGGUGGAGCGAAUCCCAAAAAGCCGUCUCAGUUCGGAUUGCAGGCUGCAACUCGCCUGCAUGAAGUCGGAAUUGCUAGUAAUCGCGGAUCAGCACGCCGCGGUGAAUACGUUCCCGGGUCUUGUACACACCG
rnacentral:rRNA from 1 species